rnacentral:tRNA from 1 species
GCCGGAGUGGCGGAACUGGCAGACGCGCAGGACUCAAAAUCCUGUGUCCUUCGGGACGUGUGGGUUCGACCCCCACCUCCGGCA